rnacentral:miRNA from 1 species
CGACUUGUGUGAGCUUAUUUUUC